rnacentral:lncRNA from 1 species
UAAGGAAUCCACUCGAAAGGUAAGUUUCCACGGAAUUCUCUUUUAUCUUUUACUAAAACAAGAAAAUUCAAAAAAAAAAAAUCAGUUAGUGUCCUUGAACUUUUUCCUUCAGUUAGCAUUAGGGUUUUAAACCCUAAACUGAACUUUUUCGUUUAGUCAGCAUUAGGAUUUUAAACCCUAAACUGAACUUUUUCCUUUACUCAGCAUUAGGGUUUUAAACCCUAAACUGAACUUUUCCCUUUAAUCAGCAUUAGGGUUUUAAACCCUAAACUGAACUUUGUCCAGUUGGUCAGCAUUAGGGUUUUAAAACCUUAAACUAAACUUUUCACUUUAAUCAGCAUUAGGGUUUUAAACUCUAAACUGAACUUU